rnacentral:piRNA from 1 species
UGGGAUGAUAUGUCUUCAAACCAGGGUGAC